UUCAAGAAUAAUGUUCCUUACAUGGAACUGCAGUUUGCAGAUUUUCAAUCACAUGCAUCCAAUCCAGUGCAGCUUCAAUUCUACCAGGAAGCUGGAAUCAAGACAGUAAUAUGUAUGGGGUGUAGCAUUGGAGAAAUUGAGGUUGGAAUGACUUGUAGCCCUCAAGUAA